CAGGAUAGGAAACUGGAUCACGUGAGCGCAUCAUCUUUAAGGUUCAAUCCUUGUAGUUUGUCUGAAAGUCUCGCUGCCUGAUCCAACUAACAACAAGACGCUUCCUAUCGGCCCAAAAGGCUUUUCUGUGCUCAAAGGAUGCCUGACUGGAGACUCGGCCUGGAAACCAAGAGCCGGCAGGCACCUGGCCUGCUCGCAGACCCCUGCUCAGACCUUGAUCUCAUUGAGCAGUGUUACUAUAGCCCUUGCUAGCAACAUUUGUGGUUACUUUGAUCUCGUAAUCAACAUGUUGCUAAGAAUAGAUCUAUAAAUCAGUUCUAUUUUUGCAACUGACAAGUUGCUCAAAAUAUCAACUUAACUAAAUCUAAAGUACUAAGAAAUCAGUCUCAGCAUCAGUCUUUAUAAAUGAAGUAGUAGCAGGGAGUACCAGUGGAGACCGAGAAAUAAUCAGCUGCUUAUGUUUUGUAGUUUUUAAAAUCUUUUAAUGUUAAAAUCUUACUAUAAUUAUACGACUUAAAUACAGUGAAAAUAAUAAAAAUUAAUAUAAAAUUAUUUAUAAUUAUUAGAGGUACAAUUUUGCCUGACUAACACAAAUCACA